GCCACCUUGGAAGUGGAGAGGGGUCACUUAACGCUGAAGGAGACAGUGACUGGCAGUGUAGACUGUGACAGGUCGUAUGUACUUUGGAAGGUCUUGCCUAAAAUCUUCUCUCAGCUUUUGACAUGGGGAGAGUAUUCCAACAACAUGCAGUUUUCCGCCUGCAGUCUGAAGGAGCGCAGCUGUUCAGCGGCAUCUCCUACUGCUGGACCUCUGACACCCCCCUGAGUCUGCGUUUGACACCCUUCUUGAGUCUGCUUGAAGGCUCCCAAAGCAAACCGUGGUCCUGUGAGAGAGCAGACAAAACCCAACUCAUAUAAGGUAAGGAAAUAACCACCUCUUAUAAAAGAAAGGCUUAUGCUUUGUUCUUUAGGUAGCUAUGCCAGUACAGAACGUUUUUGAUCAGGGGCUACAGCAAGCAAACACAGGGACUGUUGCGAUUCUUGCAAGUUGUACAGCCAGUCACCACUAAUGCAAUGCACAAAGAAAAAAAGGGGGCCCGGGUUGUGGGCAGAGGUGGGGGGGGGAAGAUAUAACCCAGAAUGUUAGAGACUUCUGCGAAAUACUGUGGAACAGCAAUCACUUGUAACUUUUACAAAACUUGCUCUCAACAUAACAUAACAUAAAGGCACCAUUGAUAUCGUUCUCAUUUUUGAAAUACUGUAAAAAAAUUGCUACAUAUGGCACAUAACACUUUUUGUAUAUACAUUAUAUAUUUAAUUUAUAAAAGUUUUUUUUCCUGUUUUGUCUUUUUUA